rnacentral:rRNA from 1 species
UACGUAGGGGGCAAGCGUUGUCCGGAUUUAUUGGGCGUAAAGAGCGUGUAGGCGGCCAGGUAGGUCCGUUGUGAAAACUGGAGGCUCAACCUCCAGCGGUCGAUGGAAACCAUCUGGCUAGAGUCCGGAAGAGGAGAGUGGAAUUCCGCGUGUAGCAGUGAAAUGCGUAGAGAUGCGGAGGAACACCGAUGGCGAAGGCAGCCCCUGGGCUGACACUGACGCUCAGGCACGAAAGCGUGGGGAGCAAACAGG